GGGGGCGGGAACUUGACGCCGGCGCGCGCGCGGCGCCCCGGGGAACUCAGAAUCAUCGGCGGACGGGUGAGUAACACGUGGGUAACCUACCUAUAAGACUGGGAUAACUUCGGGAAACCGGAGCUAAUACCGGAUAACAUUUAGAACCGCAUGGUUCUAAAGUGAAAGAUGGUUUUGCUAUCACUUAUAGAUGGACCCGCGCCGUAUUAGCUAGUUGGUAAGGUAACGGCUUACCAAGGCGACGAUACGUAGCCGACCUGAGAGGGUGAUCGGCCACACUGGAACUGAGACACGGUCCAGACUCCUACGGGAGGCAGCAGUAGGGAAUCUUCCGCAAUGGGCGAAAGCCUGACGGAGCAACGCCGCGUGAGUGAUGAAGGGUUUCGGCUCGUAAAACUCUGUUAUUAGGGAAGAACAAAUGUGUAAGUAACUGUGCACAUCUUGACGGUACCUAAUCAGAAAGCCACGGCUAACUACGUGCCAGCAGCCGCGGUAAUACGUAGGUGGCAAGCGUUAUCCGGAAUUAUUGGGCGUAAAGCGCGCGUAGGCGGUUUCUUAAGUCUGAUGUGAAAGCCCACGGCUCAACCGUGGAGGGUCAUUGGAAACUGGGAAACUUGAGUGCAGAAGAGGAGAGUGGAAUUCCAUGUGUAGCGGUGAAAUGCGCAGAGAUAUGGAGGAACACCAGUGGCGAAAGCGACUUUCUGGUCUGUAACUGACGCUGAUGUGCGAAAGCGUGGGGAUCAAACAGGAUUAGAUACCCUGGUAGUCCACGCCGUAAACGAUGAGUGCUAAGUUGUUAGGGGGUUUCCGCCCCUUAGUGCUGCAGCUAACGCAUUAAGCACUCCGCCUGGGGAGUACGACCGCAGUGGAACUCAAGGAUGACGGGACCCGCCACAAGCGGUUGGAGCAUUGUGCUUUAAAUUCGAGGCAAG
rnacentral:rRNA from 1 species